rnacentral:rRNA from 1 species
UACAGAGGGUGCUAACGUUGUUCGGAAUCACUGGGCAUAAAGCGCACGUAGGCGGCUUGGUAAGUGCGGUGUGAAAGCCCCCGGCCUAACCGGGGAACUGCAUCGCAGACUGCCAGGCUCGAGAGCGGGAGGGGAGACUGGAACUCCUGGUGGAGCGGUGAAAUGCGUAGAUAUCAUCAGGAACACCGGAGGCGAAAGCGGUCCACUGGGUCCUAUCUGACGCUGAGGGACGAAAGCUAGGGGAGCGAACGGG